AUUGAACGCUGGCGGCAGGCCUAACACAUGCAAGUCGAGCGGAUGAAGGGAGCUUGCUCCUGGAUUCAGCGGCGGACGGGUGAGUAAUGCCUAGGAAUCUGCCUGGUAGUGGGGGAUAACGUCCGGAAACGGGCGCUAAUACCGCAUACGUCCUGAGGGAGAAAGUGGGGGAUCUUCGGACCUCACGCUAUCAGAUGAGCCUAGGUCGGAUUAGCUAGUUGGUGGGGUAAAGGCCUACCAAGGCGACGAUCCGUAACUGGUCUGAGAGGAUGUUCAGUCACACUGGAACUGGGACACGGUCCAGACUCCUACGGGAGGCAGCAGUGGGGAAUAUUGGACAAUGGGCGAAAGCCUGAUCCAGCCAUGCCGCGUGUGUGAAGAAGGUCUUCGGAUUGUAAAGCACUUUAAGUUGGGAGGAAGGGCAGUAAGUUAAUACCUUGCUGUUUUGACGUUACCAACAGAAUAAGCACCGGCUAACUUCGUG
rnacentral:rRNA from 1 species